GAUGAACGCUGGCGGCGUGCCUAAUACAUGCAAGUCGAGCGAACAGACGAGGAGCUUGCUCCUCUGACGUUAGCGGCGGACGGGUGAGUAACACGUGGAUAACCUACCUAUAAGACAGGGAUAACUUCGGGAAACCGGAGCUAAUACCGGAUAAUAUAUUGAACCGCAUGGUUCAAUAGUGAAAGACGGUUUUGCUGUCACUUAUAGAUGGAUCCGCGCCGCAUUAGCUAGUUGGUAAGGUAACGGCUUACCAAGGCAACGAUGCGUAGCCGACCUGAGAGGGUGAUCGGCCACACUGGAACUGAGACACGGUCCAGACUCCUACGGGAGGCAGCAGUAGGGAAUCUUCCGCAAUGGGCGAAAGCCUGACGGAGCAACGCCGCGUGAGUGAUGAAGGUCUGCGGAUCGUAAAACUCUGUUAUUAGGGAAGAACAAAUGUGUAAGUAACUAUGCACGUCUUGACGGUACCUAAUCAGAAAGCCACGGCUAACUACGU
rnacentral:rRNA from 1 species